rnacentral:rRNA from 1 species
AUUGAACGCUGGCGGCAGGCCUAACACAUGCAAGUCGAGCGGAUGAAGGGAGCUUGCUCCUGGAUUCAGCGGCGGACGGGUGAGUAUGCCUAGGAAUCUGCCUGGUAGUGGGGGAUAACGUCCGGAAACGGGCGCUAAUACCGCAUACGUCCUGAGGGAGAAAGUGGGGGAUCUUCGGACCUCACGCUAUCAGAUGAGCCUAGGUCGGAUUAGCUAGUUGGUGGGGUAAAGGCCUACCAAGGCGACGAUCCGUAACUGGUCUGAGAGGAUGAUCAGUCACACUGGAACUGAGACACGGUCCAGACUCCUACGGGAGGCAGCAGUGGGGAAUAUUGGACAAUGGGCGAAAGCCUGAUCCAGCCAUGCCGCGUGUGUGAAGAAGGUCUUCGGAUUGUAAAGCACUUUAAGUUGGGAGGAAGGGCAGUAAGUUAAUACCUUGCUGUUUUGACGUUACCAACAGAAUAAGCACCGGCUAACUUCGUG